ensembl:lncRNA
UGUGACAUCACCGGGUCCAAACGUCAGGACGGGCUACCUAGGAUGUCCAGAACCCGUGCUGCUGGAGGAUGCUUCCUCGCAGCGGGGUCCAGUCAAGUGAUGCUCGCUGGAGGAUGUAGGAGUGAGCCAAGCAGGCGAGACAGAGGCACAGGAGACUGAAAAUCUCUAUUUCCUCUUCUUCCUGGUUUGAGUAUGACCCCUCACCUGGCUUGUGACCCUUCAACUGGAUAUCACUCCUAAGAGUUGGCUCUGGGGCAGGCUACUCCUGUUGAACCACAGGUUUACUGUCUUGGUGGAAGAGCCACUUGCAGCCAAGUUUCAGCCUUAUGGCAGAGGCAACAAGGUUUUUGGCUAAAAUAUUCUGGUACUGGGUAAAGUUCAUGAUGCCGAUGACCUUAACAAGGGCCCCAUGACGAGUGGAAUCAAAAUAGCCCCAUAACAUCAAAGAUCCACCAGCAUAUUUUAUGGCCUUGUCCAGAGGAGAAUUGAAACAGGAAAAAGCAAUUACGGGAGAGAUUGUCCCACAGGCAUUGAAAGACUAUCAGCAUGAGGGUUUGGAUUGACUCAGGGACACCUAUGGCCCUUGCAUUAUCCUGGCAUGAGGUCGCUUUAGCAAUAGUCUGGCAAUUUCCGCCAGCACCUGGCUCCCCAGCCCCCACAUCCCCCUCUCACCAGGCCCUACCUGUCCCCCUCCCUCCCUCUCCAAGCCUAACACACACCUUUCUCAUUGUACUGCCAUAGUGGCAACUAAGACAAAAACAUGCAAGGACAAUAGUGUCCAGUAGACAUGGUAGACGUUAUUAGCAAUAGCACAGAUGUUUUUCCAUCAUAGCGUGGGUGAAGUAGGCGGCUCCCAGGUGAAAAUGGAUGUUGAAUACUGUGUGCUCGGUUGUAGCGAAGGGAACGUGUGAAGUCUGGAACGAGAUGGGAACAGUGAUAAUUCACUAAGAUACAAAACCUUCAGACAAUGAAAUAAUAUCUGUUAUUUCUUUAUGGGGAAAAUAUAACCCUGGCCUUAUUGUUUGGAAGGCGCAGUGGGAGAAUCAAAUAUGGAGAUGUGGAGAGCAGAGAGUGGGUUGGAGAGGAAUGUUCCAGUGUUAUGUCAGCUGCAGACAUAAGGAGCAGAAUAUCUCACUACCCUAUCCAUUGAACAUAUGCUUGGGCCCUGUCAUCUAGUGCAAGCAUCAACACUUGUGUAAACUUAACCCUCCUUCUACUCCUCACCUACAGUCCUUAUACAGGUGCUCUGGUGGCUGUUGAGGCCAUGCACCCUAAGACCUCUCUCAUCCCAUGUUCUGACCCCCUGGGAUGUGUGGAGCUGAGGCACUGUUUUCUCAUUGAGGUUUUUCCCUUCUUAUUUACUGGUGCAAGGGGUCCGUUGCCCAGGGAAAGACUUUAGCCCCAACUGUGAUCAUAUGAUGUCGCCACUUUGUCUUGCUCUCUCUGGUCCACUGUCACCACCCAUGGCCCUGGAAGAGAAGAGGUGACCGAGCAGUGUGUCUGUUCACCUUUCCCUUCUCAAUCAGCCACUGCUCACAGUGUUGUCUCUGUUGCAUCUCUUUUGGCUAGAUCUCUCUCUCUCUCUCUCUCUCUCUCUCUCUCUCUCUUCUCUCUCUCUCUCUCUCCUCUCUCUCUCUCUCUCUCUCUCUCUCUCUCUCUCUCUCUCUCUCUCUCUCUCUCUCU